UGAGCCUUGCUUGCCAACAUCGCCAUGACAUCGCCUACAAGUGUGAUCGGGGAUUACUAUUGGAGAAUCAGUUUUAGCCUAUCUUCAUAGUGUACCAAAUAUUUGUAUAACUAACUCAAGAUAGACCAGAGACAGAGCCUGUCGUUUCCAGUGGGAGCAUAAAAAUCAUAGUGGGCAGAAGAAGCAAGGAGGUGGCAGAGCCAAGCACGAGUUAGCGAGAUCCUAUUGGCGCGUUCUAGCAUAAUUUGCAUAUUUCUGUUUGGGAACGACGACUCUGUGAAGUGCGCGUGUGCAAGAACUAAAUUCGCCCUUGCAAUGCUUCGAAAGAACGCUUUUUUGUAUGACUUUGGCACAGGGUAAAGUCUACCAAACUUAGUCCACUCUAUUCAUAACAGACUCUUGUUUUGGAAACGGAAAACUGUAUUGAGAUUAAAUGUUUCAUUGAUGAGAGAAUUUGCAGAAAGUCUGCCAAAAUCCAUCUCGCUCCAUCCUCUCGUCUCAUCACACCGGAUGCUUCACAUUUAUACAUCCGGUGAAAUAUCUAAUUGUGACAGUAAGGUCUUUGUGACUGUUUUCUAACUGUACUGUCUUUGACUCAGUGGCAUGGACGGCGAUGGCAGGACUUCGAAAUAAUUCUUUACACAUUACCUGGAAUGAAUGUCAAUAGUUUAAAAUCCAUCCAUCUCGUUCAUCUGCAUUAAUCUGAACACAGAGUUACGUUUUAAAAGUUAUAAUAAGUCAGGCUACUGAAUAACUGCCCAGUUCCAUCUUAUGAAACUGUGGCAACAUGCAAGGUUUGCAGAUCCUGUUUUGAAGCUGACAGCUGAUUGGACAAACAGAUGAUAACUGCCUCACACCAUUGAUGAUCAUCUAUACAACAUUAAUUCCGGAGAGAGCCUUAGUCUCAGAGACGGUCCAAAAUUAACCGCUCACCACUAGCCCUUCUAGGUUUGCAGAACUAAAAUAAUUGAAUAAGUGUAAGUGAUGUAACCAGGAAGCUCCCUGCUCAGCGUUCAACACCAUAGUGCCCUCCAAGCUCGUCACAAAGCUUGGGACCCUGGGACUGAACACCUCCCUCUGCAACUGGAUCCUGUACUUCCUGACUGGCCAACCGUGGGUGUUGAGAAUAGGCAACAACACCUCUGCCAUGCUGACCUUCAACAUGGAGGCUCCGCAGAGUUGUGUACUCCUCCUGUACUCCUUUUUCCCCCCCACAAGUGUGUGGCCACACACACGACUCCAACUCCAUCAAGUUUGCUGACGACACGAUGGUGGUAGGCCUGAUCACCAACAGCGACGAGACAGCCUACGGGGCGAAGGUCAGAGAACUGUCAGGACAACAUUCUCUCCCUCAACGUCAUGAUGACCAAGGAGCUGAUCGUGGACUACAGGAAACGGUUGUUGAUCUGCACCAUUGUAUCACCAUCUGAUAUGGCAACUGCACCACCUGCAACUGGAAAGCUCUACACAGGGUGGUGCGGACCACCCAGCGCAUCACUGUGGGGCUAUCUCCCAUCCAUCCAUCCAGGACAUACAUGCCAGGCGAUGUCUGAGAAAGGCCCCAAAAAUAGCCAAAGACUCCAACCACCCAAGACAUGGACAGUUCUCCAUGCUCUUGUCCGGCAGGAGGUACCGGUGCAUCAAGGCUCAGACAAAACAGACUAUCCCCUGGCGUUAAGACUGUUAAAUGUUGCGGGGUGGCAGGUAGCCUAGUGGUUAGUGUGUUGAACUAAUAACCGAAAGGUUGCAAGAUCGAAUCCGUGAGCUAACGAGGUAAAAAUCUGUCGUUCUACCCCUGAACAAGGAAGUUAACCCACUGUUCCUAGGCUGUCAUUGAAAAUGAGAAUUUGUCUUAACUGACUUGCCUAGUUAAAUAAAGGUUAAUGAAAAAUG